GUUAAGUUUAUUUCUUUUCUUUCCCUUCCUCGAUUGAUCCAAAUUUCCUCUUCGUUUUCUUCUCCCUUACCUUUUCUUUCUCUUCUAAACAACUAAAAAUCCAUUGCUCAACUCAAUUUGCAGAAAUCAAUGACGGUGAUGAAGAGUUGCGUUAGUUGUUUUUCACUUCCUCGAUUAGACACCUGAUACUCAGGUAAAGUGGACACCGUGUUAGCUGGUAUGCUAUAUGGAGGUAGCAAGGAAGCUUCUUCAUUUGUUAGCAAGGAUGCAGAAGUGAUGUUAAAUCUAGGUAGCACGCUAUACUAGCUUGAGAAUUGUUUGUCAGAAUUGCAAUGGAGAAAACGUUUGUCAGAGUAACGCUUGGUUCGGUAGUUAGUGGAGUUCGUCUUAGCAUGUUCACCACUGCAUGUUACGGCGUACAGAUUCUGCUUUCUGUGGAGUGUUAUGUAAAUGAUGCUUAUAAUAUGUGACAGCUGCAAGUUCACCUACCACAUUAGUAUUCAGCUUAA